rnacentral:rRNA from 1 species
GUCUGAACUCAAAUCAGGUAAGAUUACCCGCUGAAUUUAAGCAUAUUAAUAAGCGGAGGAAAAGAAACUAACAAGGAUUCCCUUAGUAACGGCGAGUGAAGCGGGAACAGCUCAAGCUUGAAAUCGGCAGUUGGUAAACAUAUGCCGAGUUGUAGCUUUUGGAAGCAGUUUCAAGCCACUGGUUGCGGUAAAAGUUCUUUUGAAUAAGACAUCAAAGAGGGUGAGAAUCCCGUCGUUGACCGCGAUUUAAGUGGUGAUGCGAACUGUUUUCUGCGAGUCGGGUUGUUUGGGAAUGCAGCCCUAAUUGGGAGGUAAAUUUCUUCCAAAGCUAAAUAUCAGUAAGAGACCGAUAGCAAACAAGUACCGUGAGGGAAAGAUGAAAAGCACUUUGAAAAGAGAGUGAAAAGUACGUGAAAUUGUUGAAAGGGAACCGGUUGGUAGCCAAGCAUUUCUUGGUGUUAGGGCAUUUAUGUCAGAGCGCCAGGAGGGUCAACAUCGAUUGCUGUUAACUGCCAGAAAGGAAAUUGUGCGGGCUAGCGGAGGAAGGUAGGGAGGUGAGUUUCCAGGGCAUUUAUGGCCUGGUAUUAUGGCUUGCUUUCUGUUAUAGCCUCCAUGGGUCGGCUUUUACGCCUAGUGGUGGUGGCGAUCGAGGACUGCAGCGCGUUUUGAGGGCUUUAUUGCUCUUGAUGGCCUGAUUUUCUGGAAGGAUUGUAGUUGCGUUGCGGUAGACAGCAUGCUGACUGCUGCGGGUAGGCUAUAUGCUUGCGGAGAUUUGGGAUUAAUAAGCGCUUUGGAUGUUGGCGAAAAGGCACUAAUCGACCCGUCUUGAAACACGGACCAAGGAGUCCAACAUGCAUGCGAGUAUCUGGGAAACGUAAACCCAUAUGCGCAAUGAAAGUGAACUAGUAGAAACUUUUAUUAGAAUGUAACCGGGAGCAAUCCUGGGCAGCAUCGACCGACUUUCGAUACCGUUGCUUGAAGAGGUUGAGUAAGAGCAUGUAUGCUGGGACCCGAAAGAUGGUGAACUAUGCCUGAAUAGGGUGAAGUCAGAGGAAACUCUGAUGGAAGCUCGUAGAGAUUCUGACGUGCAAAUCGAUCUCCAAAUUUGGGUAUAGGGGCGAAAGACUAAUCAGAACCUCUAGUAGCUGGUCUGC